CGUAGGGGGCUAGUGUUGUCCGGAAUCAUUGGGCGUAAAGCGCGUGUAGGCGGUCCGGUAAGUCCGCUGUGAAAGUCGGGGGCUCAACCCUUGGAUGUUGGUGGAUACUGUCGGGCUUGAGUACGGAAGAGGCGAGUGGAAUUCCUGGUGUAGCGGUGAAAUGCGCAGAUAUCAGGAGGAACACCAAUUGCGAAGGUAGCUCGCUGGGACGUUACUGACGCUGAGACGCGAAAGCGUGGGGAGCAAACAGGAUUAGAUACUCUGGUAGUCCACGCUGUAAACGAUGGGCACUAGGUGUGGGGGGUGUCGACUCCUUUCGUGCUGAAGCUAACGCAUUAAGUGCCCCGUUUGGGGAGUACGGCCGCAAGGCUA
rnacentral:rRNA from 1 species